CCAGGGCUGCAUAGAUGCAAUAAAAGUUGCAGGCUGAGAUGGACUAAUUACCUUAGGCCUGGGAUCAAACGUGGUAACUUUACUGACCAUGAGGCGAAGAUGAUCAUCCACCUUCAAGCUCUUUUGGGCAAUAGUUGUUUAGCAUCUCUGCUGCUGAGCUUUGAAAGUUUCGAAAAGCUUUUGCUUAAAUGGAGGUUGUUUUGUUAAGGCUUUUGGAAGAAUGGAUGCAGCAGAUUUUUUGCAAGGAUAUUAUCUUCAUGUGUAUUUUUGUGAUGAGUUGUAAUCUUUAAUUUCAUAAGUUUAAUUUGGUUUGUGUAUUAUUUUUUGUAAUGGUUUGUAAGAGAUUAUAUUUCCUUUCCUUGGUUGGUUGGUUAAAUGUGUGAAUGUGAGAUUCAUUUAGUUUAGAAAUUUAGAUUGGAAUGAUGGAUUUUUAUA